UUGACAACCUAGAAAAUUUUAUUGGUCCAAUAAAAUCUUCUCAAUGGAUCUUGUAUUUUGUAAGUAUGAUUAAAAAAGGAGAUGGCUAGAAUUUAGGAUAUGUUUGGUUCAAGAGAGUUAGAUUCUGAAAUGAAAAUAGAAAUGAGCGACUCUUAUUUCCGUUUUACUUUCAGAGAGGAUAGAUUUUCAAAUCCUCAAAAUUCAAUUUUUAUUCUCAUAU
rnacentral:lncRNA from 1 species